rnacentral:rRNA from 1 species
AUUGUACGCUGGCGGCAGGCCUAACACAUGCAAGUCGAGCGGAAACGAGUUGUCUGAACCUUCGGGGAACGAUAACGGCGUCGAGCGGCGGACGGGUGAGUAAUGCCUGGGAAAUUGCCCUGAUGUGGGGGAUAACCAUUGGAAACGAUGGCUAAUACCGCAUAAUAGCUUCGGCUCAAAGAGGGGGACCUUCGGGCCUCUCGCGUCAGGAUAUGCCCAGGUGGGAUUAGCUAGUUGGUGAGGUAAUGGCUCACCAAGGCGACGAUCCCUAGCUGGUCUGAGAGGAUGAUCAGCCACACUGGAACUGAGACACGGUCCAGACUCCUACGGGAGGCAGCAGUGGGGAAUAUUGCACAAUGGGCGCAAGCCUGAUGCAGCCAUGCCGCGUGUAUGAAGAAGGCCUUCGGGUUGUAAAGUACUUUCAGCAGUGAGGAAGGUGGUAUGUGUUAAUAGCGCAUUCAUUUGACGUUAGCUGCAGAAGAAGCACCGGCUAACUCCGU